AGAGUUUGAUCCUGGCUCAGGAUGAACGCUAGCGGCAGGCCCAACACAUGCAAGUCGAGGGGCAUCGGGGAAAAGCUUGCUUUUCCGCCGGCGACCGGCGCACGGGUGCGGAACGCGUAUGGAACCUGCCCCUGUCAGGGGAAUAGCCCAGGGAAACUUGGAUUAAUGCCCCAUGGUACCGUUAUAUCGCAUGAUAUUACGGUUAAAGAUUUAUCGGACAGGGAUGGCCAUGCGUACCAUUAGUUAGUUGGUGAGGUAACGGCUCACCAAGGCAGCGAUGGUUAGGGGCCCUGAGAGGGGGAUCCCCCACACUGGUACUGAGACACGGCCCAGACUCCUACGGGAGGCAGCAGUGGGGAAUCUUAGACAAUGGGGGAAACCCUGAUCCAGCCAUGCCGCGUGCAGGAUGACGGCCCUAUGGGUUGUAAACUGCUUUUAUACGGGAAGAAACGCGCCCACGUGUGGGCGUUUGACGGUACCGUAAGAAUAAGGACCGGCUAACUCCGUGCCAGCCGCCGCGGUAAUAC
rnacentral:rRNA from 1 species